rnacentral:rRNA from 1 species
CCAANGUAUGCUUUGGAAACUGUUGGACUUGAGUGCAGAAGGGGAGAGUGGAAUUCCAUGUGUAGCGGUGAAAUGCGUAGAUAUAUGGAGGANCACCGGUGGCGAAAGCGGCUCUCUGGUCUGUCACUGACGCUGAGGCUCGAAAGCGUGGGUAGCGAACAGGAUUAGAUACCCUGGUAGUNCACGCUGUAAACGCUGAGUGCUAGGUGUUAGGUCCNUUCCGGGACUUAGUGCCGACGCUAACGCAUUAAGCACUCCGCCUGGGGAGUACGACCGCAAGGUUGAAACUCAAAGGAAUUGACGGGGGCCCGCACAAGCGGUGGAGCAUGUGGUUUAAUUCGAAGCAACGCGAAGAACCUUACCAGGUCUUGACAUCCCGAUGCCCGCUCUAGAGAUAGAGUUUUUCUUCGGAACAUCGGAGACAGGUGGUGCAUGGUUGUCGUCAGCUCGUGUCGUGAGAUGUUGGGUUAAGUCCCGCAACGAGCGCAACCCUUAUUGUUAGUUGCCAUCAUUAAGUUGGGCACUCUAGCGAGACUGCCGGUAAUAAACCGGAGGAAGGUGGGGAUGACGUCAAAUCAUCAUGCCCCUUAUGACCUGGGCUACACACGUGCUACAAUGGUUGGUACAACGAGUCGCAAGCCGGUGACGGCAAGCUAAUCUCUGAAAGCCAAUCUCAGUUCGGAUUGUAGGCUGCAACUCGCCUACAUGAAGUCGGAAUCGCUAGUAAUCGCGGAUCAGCACGCCGCGGUGAAUACGUUCCCGGGCCUUGUACACACCGCCCGUCACACCACGAGAGUUUGUAACACCCAAAGUCGGUGAGGUAACCAUUUAUGGGGCCAGCCG